rnacentral:rRNA from 1 species
GAUGCUCAGCCGUAUCUCAGACAUUCACUACUACUUAAAUGUCCGCCAGGGUACUACAAGCAUUAGCUUAAAACCCAAAAGACCUGACGGUGUCUCAAACCCCCCUAGAGGAGCCUGUUCUAGAACCGAUAAUCCCCGUUAAACCUCACCACCUCUAGUCACCCCAGCCUAUAUACCGCCGUCGUCAGCUUACCCUGUGAAGGAAAUAAAAGUAAGCAAAAUGGGCACAACCCAAAACGUCAGGUCGAGGUGUAGCGCAUGAAGUGGAAAGAAAUGGGCUACAUUUUCUACCACAGAAUAUUACGAACACGCACCAUGAAAUAAUGCUUGAAGGAGGAUUUAGUAGUAAAAAGGAAAUAGAGUGUCCUUUUGAACCCGGCCCUGAGACGCGUACACCCGCCCGUCCCACCCUCAUGGGGGGGGGGGGGGGGGGGGGGUUGGAGCCUUGUCGGCCCUUUGGGUUCAAGCCAUUGCUUGGAGGCCCGGGGGCCCUUACUUUCAGCCACUGCCCGCGUUCCCGGUAAGCAUAGGGGGAAUAAAAUCGGGUUUGAAAGGAGGUGUUAGGAUACCGGGAUUUAGGU